AAGUCGUAACAAGGUUUCCGUAGGUGAACCUGCGGAAGGAUCAUUACCUUUCUGGCUAUUUAAUAGCUUGUCUGGGGGCUGCAGUUUCUGCAGCUCUGCUGACUAUCCAGUGCUUUUGGUCGGUUUUUUACGCUAGUUAACUUGAUUUUAUCCGUUUUCCCUCGGGGCCGGGGGGCCUUUUGGCCUUUGGCCCGGGUUUGGGGAACAAAACUAAAACUCUUUUGCAAUUGCAAUCAGCGUCUGAAUUUAUAUAAUAAUUACAA
rnacentral:misc_RNA from 1 species